GAGCGCGCGGGGCCGCGCCGCCGACAGCGGGUACGGUCCGGAGGGACGGAGCGGCUCCUGCGAGACGGCUGGGGCGGGGCGGGGAGGGGCGGGGCGGGGCGGGGCGGGGCGGGGCGGGGAAGCCCGGGCGCCGGGCGGCGCGGGACCUCGGGUCCCCGGCCGUGGCUGCGUGGGAAGCGGCUCAACUCGGUGCACUUGUUCACUCUUUCUUCAUUGGAGGAGGAGCCAGUGUUGCAACCUUCAUGUUCCUUGCUGGAGGCAAAACAGUGAUUUUCUGCAGCAGGCGAAUGUCCAGAGCCUGCCAGUUUUGCGAGAACCCCGGAGGAGUAUCAAGGAGAUAUUCUAAAGGGAGCCUCUCAAGUUUCAAAACCAGAAGUUACUGGAACUCUGGGCUUUCCUCCUUUGAGGCCACUUUUGCUACCAUCCCGGAAUUACUGGCGAGUGAUAUUCAUUGGCGGCCACUUACCAGGAUGCAGGAAGACGUUAGAAAUCCCAGGAUGCUCUGGUGAUCCUUCUGGACUAGAGACCCCCAGUUUUCAACAGAAAACAGGCCAGGAUGCCCGAGUGGGUGAGAGACUGCACAGAGAAGAGACAAGACUGCCACCUCCUCUGCAAACCUCACAGAAAUGACUCCACUGUCAGGAUUUCCUGGAGGGCCACCUUUGCACAUAUGUUUGAGAAGAGGCUGGCAACUCUGAGGUGCUCCUUGAACAUGCUGUGCAUAUAUCUUGCAUCCAUCUUUUCACUUGGGAACCUCUUUGGAUGCUGUGAAGGUCUAUGCCAUGUGAAUGAAAGGUCCCAGAGGCAGACUCUGAAAACAAGAUAUUGUGAGGAAUUAUCAGGAGAUGAAACUGAUGGGAAGUAG
rnacentral:lncRNA from 12 species